UACGGGGGGGGCAAGCGUUGUUCGGAAUUACUGGGCGUAAAGGGCUCGUAGGCGGCCAACUAAGUCAUACGUGAAAUCCCUCGGCUUAACCGGGGAACUGCGUCUGAUACUGGAUGGCUUGAGUUCGGGAGAGGGAUGCGGAAUUCCAGGUGUAGCGGUGAAAUGCGUAGAGAUCGGGAGGAAGGCCGGUGGCGAAGGCGGCGCUCUGGAACAUUUCUGACGCUGAGGCUCGAAAGCGUGGGGAGCAAACAGG
rnacentral:rRNA from 1 species